GAUUUGUGUAGAGAAAAAGUGGGGUAUAAAUAAAAUAAUAAUGACAACAAUACAUUUUUAAUAUUUAAUAAUACAUUUUAUUAUUUAUUAAAUAAUAAUAAUAAUAAAUUCUUUUUUUAAAAUAAAAAAUUAAAAUAAAAUCAUUUUUUAAAAUUAAAAAAAAUUAAAAAAAGAAUUCUAAUAAUAAUAGAUACAUACAUAGCCACCCCAAAAGUGUCUCCUCUCCAUUGGGAAGCCCUAUUGUUGCCUAGUGAAUACUCAAAGCUUGCAGAAUCGAUUCCCUAUCCUAUGGGGGGCGCCUGGGCGCGGGAACACGGAAAAGGCGCGUUCACACGUGCAAAGGCGCCCUCAGAGCCUCUGGGCGCGCCAAGACGCGUGUCAAGGGAUGCCAGGGAAAGCACUUAGCGUGCAGAACACACACAAGGCUUUUGCUCCUCUUGCUCCCCCUCCCUUCCCUGAAACCCCCCCUCUUUUCCUUGUUCACGUGAUCCAAAGCAAGGCCAUCAUGGCGCAGUCCUAGGCGGUGGAAGCAAGGACGGGGCGGGGUAAAAAAAAUAUUAUAUAUAUAUAUUAUAUAUAUAUAUAUAAGGGUGGGCUUGCAAUCCAUUGCAAAAUUGGAUCCUAGAAAAUUGGAUUGUCUUGCAAAGGAGAGAGAAGAAGGAAGGGAAGAGCAUCCAUUGGGCCUCCGAGGAGGAGGAGACCCUUUCCUUCCUGACUGUUUCCAGUCAGCGCUCUCUUCACUCUUUGAGGUGAAAGUGGCAGUUAAAGCCGUUUGUCUCAGCAGCAAGCCAGAGACAGCAGCCAAUCGGAAUUCUGGCUUCUGGCUGGCUCAGCCAAUCAGCUGUCGACACAUGCCUUUCCAGUCUACCCAUUACAUGAUGGUGCUGAGAGUGUGAUCAGGAUUGGGACCCUAUACAUUAUCGCUCACCCCUUUCUCCUUUUCCUUCAAAGGGCCUCAGAAGCCCUUUCCUUCCUGACUGUUUCCAGUCAGCACUCUCUUCACUUUCUGAGGUGAAAGUGGCAGUUAAAACCGUUUGUCUCAGCAGCAAGCCAGAGACUGUAGCCAAUCGGAAUUCUGGCUCCUGGCUGGCUCAGCCAAUUAGCUGUCGACGCAUAUGAAUUUUUGGUUUACAGAUGUUAUGUUUAAUUGUGUGGUUGUGUUUUAAAAGGGUCAGUAUUGCAGUUAUUGCAUCUCAGCACUCAGAGGCUGGUUGCCAUGGAGAAGUAGGCGGGAGCCAACUGCCCUUUUCUUGAAGAAGUGCAGAGUUUAAAAAAAGGGUUUCAGUCUGUGCUCUGAUGAGGCACAGGGAAGAUUGAUCCUAGGCUGAGGGGAUCAAGGAGACUCAAAUGUUCAUUCUGGCUCCUGGCUGGCUC
rnacentral:lncRNA from 1 species